rnacentral:rRNA from 1 species
GAGGGUUUCCGCCCUUCAGUGCUGCAGCUAACGCAUUAAGCAUUCCGCCUGGGGAGUACGGCCGCAAGGCUGAAACUCAAAGGAAUUGACGGGGGCCCGCACAAGCGGUGGAGCAUGUGGUUUAAUUCGAAGCUACGCGAAGAACCUUACCAGGUCUUGACAUACUAUGCAAAUCUAAGAGAUUAGACGUUCCCUUCGGGGACAUGGAUACAGGUGGUGCAUGGUUGUCGUCAGCUCGUGUCGUGAGAUGUUGGGUUAAGUCCCGCAACGAGCGCAACCCUUAUUAUCAG